rnacentral:sRNA from 1 species
CAAACAGUACGUGAAACCGUCAGGAGGGAAACGAACGAGGUUGGUGCAGUGAUCACGCAGGUUCAAGCACCACCGAAGGUGCCAACACGGUGACAGAGAUUGUCUCGUGUUGUCUGCCGGAGGUGGUGCCGUACUCCUCGUGAACACGGACCAGUGGCGGUUGGGCCGGAGCCACAAGGCGACAGCGGAAGGUGAGUCGACUUGGGCCCGUCUCACGUCGACAGCUUACAGCCCUGUCGUACGGCGCUCCGGCCGGACCGAGGAAGCAGGGCAGCCCUUGCCCGUGGCGGUGCACGCCGAAUGGCGGGGCCUCCCGACAUGAGUGAACCGUGCGGUGUGGACUGCUUGCAGUGCAUGCCGUGGCGGCGAUCUCGUGCUGGAGAGUGCCACCUGUGCACCAGUGCUGCUGGUAUUCAGACGGCCUCGUCCGA